GUUUGAUAACAUGGUUUGGUGCACAACCAAAUUCAUGGAUUGUAUAGGCAGUUAUAUUAAUUUCAUUAAGCUUGUGUAGGAUCAAAGAAGCACACUUGAUGUAAAAUAGUUUUUCCUGAAUAAAAUUUAACAUUUAUUCAAAAAAAAAAAAUGUUCUUGAUGAUGUAAAUAGAAUCGUUAAACCUGAAUAUUCAUAAGGCAUAUAGAGUUGUAGAUUAUAGAAUCUUAUUACAUAAAGUAGACUGUGUCUCUCUUCUCCUGCUGCCAGCGCAACAAAUAGAGGAAGGAGGAGUCGACAGCUGUCCCGCAACCAAAACGCAGAGCAUCUUUUAAGUUUGUGUCAUUUGGGUUUCUCGGUUCGUUGGGCCUUUUACGUCGUGAGCCCAUCACGUGUUAUAUCAGACGAUGCGUUUUGAUUAGGUUAACGUCUUCGCGUAUACAGAGACAAAGAUGAAACCCUUUGCGCCAUAGACGUAUCGUCUCCUUCCUCUCCCGAUCUCAGAAACUGAUCAAUCACCUUUAAACCUCCCAUUAAACGAUCGCCCACGAUGUAGAUUCAAUGCGAGAUUUUAAUUGCGGAUGGCGAUGGAGUCGACUAUAAGAAGACUGGCCGCUCCUCUUCCACCGUUGAAGUUUGCUUGCUCCGCUUCUGGGAAGCCAGAAACAUCCGCCGUGGUGGCGAGCUCAUGGCCGUUGACAUGCUCUUACUUGAUUCUCAGGUUAUGUAUUAGAUCCGCCUUUUGGUUUUAAUUUGCUGAUUGUAAUUGUCAGUUUUUGUUUUGGUAACCUGUAGUCUAUUUCACACCGAUUGGUUUUUAGUUUUUAAUGAUUGUUUUGUAAAUAUUUGAUGUUCAUCCGUUUCACCGUCUGAGUAAAUCCAUCGGUUCACAUCUGUAGUCAUCUCCACUGUUUUGUAUUUAGAUUUUGUUAGAAGAUAAUUGUGUUAUUUUACGAUUCUGUUUCUUACUUUGAUUUUUUUGUUUGUGUAUAUUCUUAGUAUGGUUUCUUCAUUGUUUGAUUUAUGCUGAUUUGUAUUGUGUUAUUUGUGUUGCAGUUUUUGCAGAUGUCCCUGCGUCUCUUCCUUUUUGAGUUUCAGUUUCCAUCUUAGAUGUCUGAAUCUCUGUUGAUGUCUGAUUAUAUGUAACUGGAUUUGAAAUACAUUAUGUUGCCAAAUGAAAUGAGCAACUGAGUGUUUCUAAGAACUGAUUCAUUUAUCGAGUUUGUUACUUCUGCAGGAGCAAAAAGUGGAAUCUUUGGAUGAUUAGGGCGAGACCAGUAGCUUAUGGUCCUGAAAUAGUGCAUCGAGUCGAGCCUGUGAGCUUAGAAGAACUUGGACGGCCGAGUGAUGCUCCUGAAGCAAAAAAGGCUGAGAAGAAGAGCAAAUCUUUAAGAUGGCUCUUAGCACUGCAGCAGUCACGUUAGAGAACCAAUCUGCUGUAUCCAAAGUCAUACCAAAGGAUGACGUCAAGUGGACACGAAGGAGGAGGUCGUGAGAUAUUGAAGAGGCUCACCAACAUUGUAGCCAAGAGAUGUACACAAAAAGUUCUAUUGAGUCUAGCCCAUCAUCUACUUCAGACUUCUUCCCUAAAGCAAGAUAAUUUUAAAGUCUUUAAUGUGUUGUGAUCGUGAUCAUAGUAUACUGUUAAUAAUAAGGGAUGCUCAUUGACUUAAACAAAUAAAAAACGUCUAUGCUCAUUGCCUUUGGCUUUAUACUAACAAAAAAACGUGCAAGACUGCAGAAUCAGUAAGCCUGCAAAUCAGUAACCCGAGACAGAAGACACGGAUCCUACAUAGCUCUUCUCCUUUGUUUGAGAUGAUCAUCUUUUUAUCUGAUGCCUACUGGUGUUAGUUUUCAUUAGCUUUUGUUUUCU